UGUCUCCUUGCUCGAUGAAUCUGCAGUUCCGGUGCUCGUAGACACCGGCAAAGGUGUUCCUGAACCCACCCACCUCGCUGAGAAGAUAGUGCCCUUGUACCUCUUUGAUUGGAAACGGGGACGACUCCACCAGUAUCUGUAGUCUUCUACGCGGGAGGUUCCUCUGAGAUCAGAAAGAGGCAUUCCUCCUACAGUUUCGGAAUUAUUGGGAACGGACCUUCCUGAAUGUGGAGGAAGCUCCGGUACGCUGUCUUCUGCGGCUUGCUGGAACGCCCAUCUCCUCCUCUUCUCUGUCGGCGGGUUAGGCUCUCCGGCCCCUUCUCUACUUGUUCUGAUUCGACAUGGAGUUUGGUUUCAACUUCGGAUAUGGGAAAUAGGUAUCAAAGGGACAAGGAGCUUUCAGAUUCAGGAUCAAAAUCUCUCCUUGGCACCGGGAAAUCGGUUCUCUCCAGAUGUUUUUAUCUCUGCGAGAAGAAAGCCGACACCUUUGUGGAGGAGUCGUCUUUGCAAGACAUCCUCAGAGUGUAUGCAGAUAUGUCCCCGGAGACCACCCGUCGUUUCUGGCGAGUUUCAGUGUUGAGACCUGAUGAUUUCCUCGAAAUUUUGCUGGGAAUUGGAAAUGGUGAUUGUAGUUUAAGAAAGGUGGAAUUCUUGUUGAAAUUGUUUAGGUGGGCCAAGAAACAAAGUGCAGAUUUUGAUCAUCUCCCGAGGUCUUAUGAGGUCAUGAUUUCAGUUCUCAUCCGGGCACAGAUGUAUAAAGAUGCUGAAUCCUUACUUCUGGGAGUAGAGUCAAGAGAAAUUUUUUCUAAUUCUGCUGCAUUGUUUAGUGGCAUAAUCCAAGGUUAUGCCGAAGAUUGCAAAUUAGAGAAGGCAAUGGUUCUAUUUGAUAAAGCCAGAGAAAGGGGUACAGUCCCAUCUGCUUCCUGUUAUCAGUCUCUUUUGAGUCUUUUGGCAAAAAAAAAGAAAGUUGAAUUGGUUACAAAAGUCUAUAUGGAUAUGAUCAAGGUUGGAUUAGCCUCAUAUUCCCAAGAUUGCAUCCUGAAAAUAGUUAUUGUAGGACUGACAAAAAAUGAGAGGAUCCUCGAGGCUAUAACCGUACUUAGGCAACUAAGGUGUUCUGGUAUCGAAGCAAGCCAUUUUGCUCUUUCUGCAAUUGCUGAAGGAUUAUGCAAAAAGAAGGAUUUCGAAGAUAUGUUCAACUUUCUAGAAGAAUGGGGGCAUGCUCCUGAAGUUCAUAUUUGUAACAAAAUAAUUUCUUCAUUGUGCAUAGAUUUGGGUACCCAGGAAUCAUGGUCUUUCAUGCAAAGAAUGGAAGUUUUGGGCUUCAAGCCAGAUGCUAUAACCUUUAGCAUCCUCAUUUGUCAUAGUUGUAGGGCCAGAAAGUUGAGGGAUGGAUAUAUUUAUCUUUCAGAAUGUUUAUCCAGGGGAAUAGUACCUACUGCAUACAUCUAUAAUGCUCUUAUCAGUGCAGGUUUUAUGGAGGGUUUGCAUAGACAUGCAAAUGAUGUAUUUGAGGACAUGCUAGAGAAGGGUAUAAUGCCAGAUCAAACAACAUUCAAAAUUUUACUGGCUGGGUAUUGUAAAUAUAGAAAAUUUGAUGAAGUUAAACAGGUUCUAAUUGACAUGAGGAAUCGGUGCUUGACUUCUUUGACUUCCCUGGAGGAUUCACUCUCUAAGGCCUUAAUUUUUUUAGGACUUGAUCACUUGAAGGUGAAAAUAAAGCGUGAUAACAAUGUUGGAAUUCCUAGAUCUGAGUUCUUUGACUGUCUUGGCAAUGGGCUAUACUUAGAUACUGACGUAGAGGAGUAUGAAACAUCCUUGGCAGGAAUUCUUGAUUGUGCUAUGGUUCCAGAUUUUGAUUCUCAGUUAAUGAGAGGAAAUGAUAAGGUUAACAUACAAACUGCAUUAAAAACAAAGGAUGAAUUAACCCAGUGGGGCCAGAACCUUUCAUUAUCGACAUACUCUAAAUUGUUCAGACACCUUUGUGCCACCCCACACCAUUUAAAAGAAGCUAUCAGUCUUUUAGAUGAUAUCCCAGAGUCACUUGAACUGCUUGAUGGUGAAACUCUUAAUUUACUUUUAAAAAAUUUAAGCAAGAACGGAAUGGUAGCUCCUGCAAUGAUGAUUUUGGAGAGGUUGUUCAAGAGAAAGCUUCUGGUGGAGAGUCAAUCAUUUAUGGAACUCAUUGUUGGCUUAAGCAAAGAAAGGGACAUUGAUGGACUGCAAGAAUGCUGCAAUCAGGCAUACAGUAGCAUGUGGUUACCAAGCUCUAAGGACCUUAGACCUCUUUUUAGUUCUCUGUGUAGGUGGGGAUUGAUCAAAGAAGUUCUGGAGCUGUUUGAUAGGAUAUUGGAGAACUGCCCUGCAUUGGUUUCUUCCUUAUGUACUAGUGUUCUGAAGGAGUUAUGCAUGACAGGCUAUACAAAUGUUGGGUGUAUUUUGGUGGAGGAGCUUCUCGAGAGAAAUUUAGUCAUGGAUCAUGCACCCUUUGUAUAUAUCAGUAUGGGCUUCUUGAAGGAGCAGCAAUUGGUCGAAUCACUUGGAAUAUUGGAUAUAUUACACAACAAGAACAUGACCUUGCCUAUAAAUGUAUGCCAGCACAUGAUCCCUUUGUUGCUUCGGUUCAACAGGUUUGAAGAAGCCAUUGCUCUUAAGGAAUCUGUACUGACCAGGAAACCUGACUGUGGUUUUCUUAUUUCUAACAUUUUUCUGAGUGAGUUAAGCAGGACAAGAAAGUUUAAUGAUGGUUUAUCUCAAUUGCAAGAAAUGUUGCUGAGUAGGAUUCUCCCGAAUGAUAAUGCUUUAAAUGCAUUGUUGCAAAUGUGCUGUCAAAAAAAUAAUAUUCAGAAAGCAUUUGAAUUACUAGGUAUUUUAAUAAGAGUACAUGGCAACCUUUCUAUUUCAGGCUAUCGGAGCCUUGUGCGUCAAAUGCUCUUGAAGGGACUGAUAUCUCAUGCUUUGAGACUUAAAGAUCUGAUCCAGCAAAAAGAUAAAUUGGUGGAACUGAGUUUGUAUAACAUUUUAAUAUUUUGUCUCUUUCAAACAGGUAACAGUUCUAUUGCUGAAACUCUAUUAAAAGAUAUGCAACACAUGCACAUUCUUCCUGAUAAAAACACUUAUGAUUUUCUUGUGCACGGCUUUCACAAGUGUGGAGAAGUCAUUAAAUCAGUUGAAGCACUUGAUACAAUUAUUUUCAAGGGUUGGAGACCAAGCAAUCGGAGCCUGAGAAUAGUAAUAUGUCAAUUUUGCAACGAUGGAAAGCUUGAGAAGGCAUUAGAACUGAGUCAGGUGAUGGAACAUAAUAAAUGGAAGCAUGGUUCAGUUAUCCAAAAUGAACUCGCCAUGGCCCUUCUCAGAUGUCGUGGUCUUUCUGAGGCUGAACUCUUUCUGGAUAGAGUAGCCAAAAAGGGGCUAAUUCCUGCAAACAUUGACUACAAUAAUUUGAUUCAAAAUAUGUGUAUGCAUUCUGGAGUACAGAAUGCAGUUGAUCUGCUGAAUAUAAUGUUCAAAAAGGGUAACCUUCCAAGCGAGAUGAGUUAUAGUUCAGUCAUUCAUGGGCUCUGUGUUUGCAAGGCAUUUGAUCAAGCACUUGAUUUCCAUGCUGAAAUGUUGCACCAGAACCUUCAGCCUAGUGUAGAAGUUUGUAAUGCUCUUGUUAAAGGUCUUUGUGCGAACUGGAGGACUGAUGAUGCCCAAAGAAUUUUGAGAACUAUGCUCCAAUAUGGCCCUCCUCCAACUUACAGCUUGUAUAGUCAUGUUCUUGAUUGUUACCGUCUCGAUAACAAUCUGGACAAGGCAUCAGAGCUUUUGCAGGAAAUGCAACUGGCUGGACACUCUCCCAAUUUUGAAACUCAUUGGUCUCUUAUAAGCAAUUUGAGCAGCUUGGAGAAAAAGAGUGAUGAUGGUGAUAAGAGUAUUUUAUCUGGUCUUCUUUGUGGGAGUAGACUUCCUGUGACGAAUUCCAAGAGCAAAGUUGCCUCAGCAUUCAAAUAAGAAUUCCUAUCAUCAUAAAAUCUUGCAAAACUCUGUUUCAUGUGAUUUUGGAUUGUUUUACCACCUAUGGUGCAUCGUCUCUGGACAAUGGUAUUUGAUAAAGGAGCUAGAGUUGAUGUUAUUACACGAGAAGGACAACCUGGGGCACUGAUUGGUAUUUGUGGUCAUCAACACUGGUGCAUGAUCUUCUUGUAGGAAGAUGCAAAGGAGCUGAAGAGGCAAGUUUUCAAAAUGAACUUGCCAGAUGCUAGAUGAAUCAUCAUCUGCUUGGAUCUUGGUGCAAAAAAGGUGUUUAAUCUUUACAUGGAACCUGAUUGCUGUUUAAGUCCCUCAGUUCGUCUUGCUGUAGCCGUGGAACUGUGAAGUCAUCGACAAGGUUAUUAUAUUGAAUUUUACUGUCUGCCAAAUUCUCCAUGUGGCUAAAGCUGCUUGAUUUAUAGGAGUAAGGCCUUCAACUAUAAAAUGAUUAAAAAAAGUCCAUAGACAAAGAGGGAAUCACUCAUUUGGAGUUUCUGGAUUUCCACACAACGUGAAAUACUUGCAGUUAACAAUGCAGUUCACCACACUCGGAAGAAAGUGUAGCUGUCCUGGUGCUUCUUGUCGAUGGAAAGUAGACAGCAAUGGACAUGAUGCCAACUUUGCACAUAGAUUGUUGCACUGAGACGGUGCUUUGCUUCCGACCUGUACAACCAUCAUGCUCAUGAUACUCUCAUUUUCCAGAGAGAGCAAAGAAAGAAGAGGCAACAAGAACCUCCUCUUCCCACAGAGCUCUCAGCAAAUCUUCUCUACAGCAGCAGGAGCCAUCACAAUCCUCCACAAGUACCUCCCACUUGCCAUAUCAACACAGGUCCAAAACCCGGUUCCGAUUGCUGAUCGAACCUGAUUCAUCCCAGAAACCAACACCAUUACCAUCACAGAACAGUAGAGAGAUAGAGAGAGAGAGAGAGAGAGAGAGCUUUACCUUGGUGGAAAGGGGAAGCUGUGCUGGAGAGGAGUCUUCUUCCUGCUGUUCUUCAUUGAGCUCUGGCUGGGUCUUGAGGUUUCUGAUCACAAAGAAACCAGCCAAGGUGGCUGAUAGAAAGAUCAACAGCACUCUCAAAGGACACAUCUCUCUCUCUCUCUCUCUCUCGCUUCUCUUUCUUCUGAGAUCUACUCACCGAGGAGUCGCCAUGGGAAGCACUUUUAGAGAAGCAAAGGAGCAGGCUUGAGAGAAUGGUAGUUUGAGAAGAAAACAAAAGGUUGGCAGCUACAAUGAGUUCAUUGUUGACUUUUAAAGCAUGCUGCAUUCAUGCCAGAUAUAUGGCUAGGAGAUUGGUACGACUAUAUAUAUAUAUAUAUAUAUAUAUAUAUAUACCUGAACGGGGCCCACCGAACUGCCGGGUGGGUGGGUUUGGUAAGAAUUGGACCGGGUCUUCAGUAAUUAAUAAUAAUUAACUUGUGCUUAGUGGAUGGGUGUUAAUUGGAUUGGUAUAUUAUAUGUAUGUAAAAUCUAAAUUAGACUUUAGAUUUUAACAAAAUCUAAAUUUUGGAAGGGAUAUUAUGCAUGUAAUAUUUGUUAGGAUCGAGAGCACUAAGAGGGGGGGGGGGGGGGGGGGGUUGAAUUAGUGCAGCGGAAAUCCUUUUAGCGAUUAAAAACGAAAGCUACGUUCGUUCGAUAAAAAUCAGUUUUGAUGCAAAAGCCGACUCUAAGAUAACUUAUGAUUAAGUGCAGUUUACGUCUAAACGUAGUUUAUGUCUAAACACAAUUUACGUUUAAAUGCAGUUUGCGUCUAAACGCAGUUUUACGUCUAAACGCAGAUUUACGUCUAAACGCAGAUUUACGUCUAAACGCAGAUUUACGUCUAAACUCAGUUUACGUCUAAAACGCAGUUUUACGUUUAAACGUAGUUUGCGUCUAAACGCAGUUUUGCGUCUAAACGUAGAUUUACGUCUAAACGCAGAUUUACGUCUAAACUCAGUUUACGUCUAAAACGUCUAAACACAGUUUGGGCAGUUUUACGUCUAAACGCAAUUUUACGUCUAGACGCAAUUUCAAAGGGAUCUGAACUUUAGAAACUCGUUCGUAAAAGCGCAGAAGACAGUUUUGCAGAAUCAAGGCGUAAACGUAAACUGCAAUGUAAAUAUCGUACGAAAACACUGGUUUACGUCUGAAUGCAGAUUCGGAAAGAACAACACUUAGAACUUGUUCGUAAAAGCGCAGAGAGCAGUAGUUAUGAAGGAGGUUUGCAGUAAUGAUAAAGUGCUCAAAAUAAACGCAAACCAGAGAUUUAGAGUGGUUCGGUCAGUCUUGACCUACUCCACUUUUGGCUUCCUCCACCGACGAGGUCACCGACGUCAACUAGAGGCCUUCCUUCAAUAGGCGAAGGCCAACUGCCCUUUUACAGUUUCUCUCCUUUUAACAGGCUCAGGAGACGACCUUUACAGACCUUUCUCUCCUCACUUUACAACUCAAAACUUGAAGAAUAGAAGGAGGAGACUUAAAGGCUUUACAACACUUUUGAGCUCUUAGAAUCACAGAAAAGAUCAAGAUUUCGGUGUAGGUCUGUGUCUCUUCAGUGCUGAAUGGGUGGGGUAUUUAUAGGCCCCAACCCAAUUCAAAUUUGGAGCUCAAAACGAUCAAAUCCCGGAAUUCCGGGAUCAGGCGGUUGCACCUCUUGACCGGAGAGGUUGCACCGCCUGGCAGAGCUCGAAGACCGAGCUCAGGCGGUGCCACCUCUCUGUCAGGGAGGUUGCAUCGCCCAGUCUUGCUCAGGCGGUGCCACCUCUCUAUCAGGGAGGUUGCACCGCCCAGUCUCGCUGGGAGGCUUAGCCUAGGCGGUGCCACCUCCUGGCUGGGGCGGUGCCACCUCUUUCACUAUUUCAGCUCACUUGGUUUGGCUCCAAACUUGGCCCAAACCAGUCCGAACUUGGGCCUAAUUGGCCCCUACUUGGAUUAUAGGAUUAACACCUAAUCCUAACCCUAAUUAAUGUGCUAACUAUGAUUUUAAAGACAUUUUCUAAGCUAUUACAAAGUCCGCAAGUCAAGACUUCUUCUGGCGAGCUUCCGGCAAACUUCCGGCGGUCUUCCGAUGAACUCUCGGAAACCAUUCUGCGGACUCCCGGCAAGCUCCUAGACUUCACGAUUUGUUCUUAGCGAGUUCCAACAAGCUUUUUCGGCAAGCUCCGAUCUUUUUCGGCUAGUUCCGGUAGCAUUCCCGACGAACCUUCAGACUUCCGUCGAACUCUCGAACUUGCAACAAAUCCUUCGCGCUUGACUCCGACACUUUGUUUCGCUUUAUGUCUUCAUCGUUAUCAUAGUUAAUCCUGCACAAUUAAAGCAAAACUUCGAUCGAGACAAUUAAUCCUAAGCAAUUAACCAAGUUGUCCGGCAUGUCAUUGGUCCCUCGACGCUUCGUCCGAUUCUUCGGCGCAUCGUCCUUUCCUGCAGCCUAUUGCCCAAUCGGCCUGUUGACUCCGCAACUCCGAUAUCCUUGGCACAAUACCCGCUCUUCUUGGCCCGAUGCCCGAGUCCACGGCCCGAAGCCUUCUGUCGAUACGUCGACCGAUCCACCGGCCCGACGUCCAAUCUUCUAACAUGUUCCUCCGGCACAACAUGAUUUUCCUGCUUUAAUUGUCUCAUCCUGAUCAAAGCAUCCUGCGUCACUCAAAACGCAGAUUAAAUCAUAAACAUAUAUCAAGUAGUUUCAUCAUCAAAAUACGAGAUUCAACAAUAUUAAUAUGAGGAGGGACCUAUUUUCAUACUUCAAAAAAAAAAAAACAUAAAUGGAAAAGCCCUCAUAUAUUAUAUUAGUGCAAUUAGCUAAUAAUAGACACCAUUAUUAGUUUUUAAUGUCUUCACACAAUGUGUUGCCAUGUUUUACUCUUUAACAUCCUUUCGUUUUACUUUUUGUUGGAUGGAGCUGUAUUCAACUCUGAAGAGGGCAUAGCUAUAAUGCCAAUGGUGCAACAAAUGUAUUUUUCUUUUUCUUUUUUUUAUUUGUCUUAAAGAAGGAUAUUUCCAUUUUCA